UACGUAGGGUGCGGGCGUAAUCGGAAUUACUGGGCGUAAAGCGUGCGCAGGCGGUUAUGCAAGACAGAUGUGAAAUCCCCGGGCUCAACCUGGGAACUGCAUUUGUGACUGCAUAGCUAGAGUACGGUAGAGGGGGAUGGAAUUCCGCGUGUAGCAGUGAAAUGCGUAGAUAUGCGGAGGAACACCGAUGGCGAAGGCAAUCCCCUGGACCUGUACUGACGCUCAUGCACGAAAGCGUGGGGAGCAAACAGG
rnacentral:rRNA from 1 species